rnacentral:rRNA from 1 species
AUUGAACGCUGGCGGCAGGCCUAACACAUGCAAGUCGAACGGUAACAGGAAGCAGCUUGCUGCUUUGCUGACGAGUGGCGGACGGGUGAGUAAUGUCUGGGAAACUGCCUGAUGGAGGGGGAUAACUACUGGAAACGGUAGCUAAUACCGCAUAACGUCGCAAGACCAAAGAGGGGGACCUUAGGGCCUCUUGCCAUCGGAUGUGCCCAGAUGGGAUUAGCUAGUAGGUGGGGUAACGGCUCACCUAGGCGACGAUCCCUAGCUGGUCUGAGAGGAUGACCAGCCACACUGGAACUGAGACACGGUCCAGACUCCUACGGGAGGCAGCAGUGGGGUAUAUUGCACAAUGGGCGCAAGCCUGAUGCAGCCAUGCCGCGUGUAUGAAGAAGGCCUUCGGGUUGUAAAGUACUUUCAGCGGGGAGGAAGGGAGUAAAGUUAAUACCUUUGCUCAUUGACGUUACCCGCAGAAGAAGCACCGGCUAACUCCGUG